AUGAAAAUGGCUCAGUGGUAGAGCCCUUGCCUCACAUGCAUGAGGCCUUGGGUUCAAUCCCCAGUACUGAAA
rnacentral:tRNA from 1 species